UCCUACGGGAGGCAGCAGUGGGGAAUAUUGGACAAUGGGGGCAACCCUGAUCCAGCCAUGCCGCGUGCGUGAAGAAGGCCUUAGGGUUGUAAAGCGCUUUCGGCGGGGAAGAUGAUGACGGUACCCGCAGAAGAAGCCCCGGCUAACUCCGUGCCAGCAGCCGCGGUAAUACGGAGGGGGCAAGCGUUGUUCGGAAUUACUGGGCGUAAAAGGGCGCGUAGGCGGAUUAUCAAAGUCAGAGGUGAAAGCCCUGGGCUCAACCUGGGAACUGCCUUUGAAAACUGAUAGUCUUGAAGUCCGAGAAGAGGAUGGCGGAAAUUCCCAAGUGUAAGAUAUUGGGAAGAACACCAGUGGCGAAAGGCGGCCAUUCUGGCUCGGUACUGAC
rnacentral:rRNA from 1 species